rnacentral:rRNA from 1 species
CAGUAGCCGCGGUAAUACGUAGGUGGCAAGCGUUGUCCGGAAUUAUUGGGCGUAAAGGGCUCGCAGGCGGUUUCUUAAGUCUGAUGUGAAAGCCCCCGGCUCAACCGGGGAGGGUCAUCGGAAACUGGGAAACUUGAGUGCAGAAGAGGAGAGUGGAAUUCCACGUGUAGCGGUGAAAUGCGUAGAGAUGUGGAGGAACACCAGUGGCGAAGGCGACUCUCUGGUCUGUAACUGACGCUGAGGAGCGAAAGCGUGGGGAGCGAACAGGAUUAGAGACCCCUGUAGUCCCUGUCUCUUAUAC